rnacentral:rRNA from 2 species
AACGAACGCUGGCGGCAUGCCUAACACAUGCAAGUCGAACGCUGUAUGAUCUUUCGGGAUUAUGCAGAGUGGCAGACGGGUGAGUAACGCGUGGGAAUCUACCUAUGAGUGGGGGAUAACUGAGGGAAACUUCAGCUAAUACCGCAUAAGCCCCAAGGGGGAAAGGCGCAAGUCGCUGAUAGAGGAGCCCGCGUCAGAUUAGGUUGUUGGUGGGGUAAAAGCCUACCAAGCCUGUGAUCUGUAGCUGUUCUGAGAGGAUGAUCAGCCACACUGGGACUGAGACACGGCCCAGACUCCUACGGGAGGCAGCAGUGGGGAAUAUUGGACAAUGGGGGCAACCCUGAUCCAGCAAUGCCGCGUGAGUGACGAAGGCCUUAGGGUUGUAAAGCUCUUUUGGUAGGGAAGAUAAUGACGGUACCUACCGAAUAAGUCCCGGCUAACUCCGUG